rnacentral:rRNA from 1 species
GACGAACGCUGGCGGCGUGCCUAGUACAUGCAAGUCGAACGAGAGCGACCGGUGCUUGCACUGGUCAAUCUAGUGGCGAACGGGUGAGUAACACGUGGGUAACCUGCCCAUCAGAGGGGGAUAACAUUCGGAAACGGAUGCUAAAACCGCAUAGGUCUUCGAACCGCAUGGUUUGAAGAGGAAAAGAGGCGCAAGCUUCUGCUGAUGGAUGGACCCGCGGUGCAUUAGCUAGUUGGUGAGGUAACGGCUCACCAAGGCCGUGAUGCAUAGCCGACCUGAGAGGGUGAUCGGCCACAUUGGGACUGAGACACGGCCCAAACUCCUACGGGAGGCAGCAGUAGGGAAUCUUCCGCAAUGGACGCAAGUCUGACGGAGCAACGCCGCGUGAGUGAAGAAGGUUUUCGGAUCGUAAAACUCUGUUGUUAGAGAAGAACAAGUGCUAGAGUAACUGUUAGCGCCUUGACGGUAUCUAACCAGAAAGCCACGGCUAACUACGUG